UACGUAGGGGGCAAGCGUUGUCCGGAUUUAUUGGGCGUAAAGAGCGUGUAGGCGGCCAUACAGGUCAGCUGUGAAAACUCGAGGCUCAACCUCGAGACGUCGGUUGAAACCGUAUGGCUAGAGUCCGGAAGAGGAGAGUGGAAUUCCCGGUGUAGCGGUGAAAUGCGCAGAUAUCGGGAAGAACACCCGUGGCGAAGGCGGCUCUCUGGGACGGUACUGACGCUCAUGCACGAAAGCGUGGGGAGCAAACAGG
rnacentral:rRNA from 1 species